rnacentral:rRNA from 1 species
GCAGCAGUGGGGAAUCUUGCACAAUGGGGGAAACCCUGAUGCAGCGACGCCGCGUGAGCGAUGAAGCCCUUCGGGGUGUAAAGCUCUUUCGGCAGGGACGAUAAUGACGGUACCUGAAGAAGAAGCUGCGGCUAACUACGUGCCAGCAGCCGCGGUAAUACGUAGGCAGCGAGCGUUGUUCGGAGUUACUGGGCGUAAAGAGUGCGUAGGCGGUGGCCCAAGUCUGGUGUGAAAUCUCCCGGCUCAACCGGGAGGGUGCGCCGGAAACUGGGUUGCUUGAGUACUGGAGAGGCAAGCGGAAUUCCUGGUGUAGCGGUGAAAUGCGUAGAUAUCAGGAGGAACACCCGUGGUGUAGACGGCUUGCUGGACAGUCACUGACGCUGAGGCACGAAAGCGUGGGGAGCAAACAGGAUUAGAUAC